GGAGGGUUCGGAUAAUGGUAUUCCACCGGUUUCGAAAACCGGCGCCCGCAAGGGCUUAGAGGUUCGACUCCUCUACCCUCCGCCA
rnacentral:tRNA from 3 species